GUAGGCUUGGUGUAACGGUAACACGCGGCACUGAAGACAAUCGCCGAAUCUGGGGUUCGACUCCCCAAGCCCGCC